CCUUGCUAUCAACAGUUAUUAUAUUAUUAACGAGUUUUUAAAGCUAUAGCAACAGAUCCCUUUACUGCAAUUAAGUAAUGCCCAGGAAUCAUGAUUUCAACAGAUUCAUGGCAAUGUGCAACUACUUUCUUAGGUUAAUUCAAUUGGCUAGGAUAAAAUGCCAAUGAUUUUUUAUUAAUAUAUUAAAAAUAUACUCUCUUUUUUUUUUGCAAUAGCAAUACCGAACAAACCCUAUAUCUGAUAUCCCAUAUAUCUUAUAUUCAUGCUUUCUGAUUUCUUAUGCUUCCCACACCCCCAAAACAAUGAAAGUCGUCCGCCUCUGCGUCCGGAGCGAACAAUGGUCCCUUUCACCUUCUGCCUAAGAGAUUUGUUGGCAUUCCAACAGAAAAGCCCACUGCAACCUCUGCUUGCUGAACUUGAUUCAUACAUCCUAAACCAAAAGCAAGAAUUGAGUUUAAGAGGGAUCUAAGAUAUUAAUUCAUUAACAAGAAAUAUGUCACUUUAACCAUUACAAGGAGAAAUUCAGAAUUCUAUUUUUGAGGGAAAAAUUCUCGCAUUCCUUCGCUGAGAUGAUCUUCUUAUAAUUAUUUAUAUAAUUGAACAACAGUAAAGUCAAAUUAUUAUGUUAUACAGUCUUUAAUAUGUGCCUUCAUUACCCUUAGAUUAAAAAUACUCAUCUCUUUUUUAGUUUUAACACCAGUUUCUUCAUUGUGCUUUACAUCACUAGUUCUAUCAUCACACAUUCUUGAGGCCCAUCCAUCAGGAGUACUUCAACUUCCAGCUAUUAUUUCUGCAGUGUAGCAGCAGUAUUAAGAAGACUAUAACAUACUCUAUGUUUCGCUUAAUACCUGACCCACACCUUGCUUACGAUAAUUUUCUUCUUGAUAUACAACUGCAGAAUAAGACUCUUGAGUUGUCAACCUAAUAAUGUUAGUAUUUUCUUUCCACUUUAAUCUGUUCUGCUAUUCUGGAACAAAGGCUAUGAAUCUUGAAAAUUAGAUUUUGAAAUAGGGUCCAUAAUGUCCAUAAAGAACAAAGGGAGAAGCCAAUCUAACAAAUUCACCAAAUGUGAGUAGGCCUAGUUAGCUAAACAUAUUCAAGAAACUGAAAAGUGCCGCAAUUUGGUGAAAAUAAUGGCAACAUGAAUAAUUAAUAAGAACGAUAAAAAAAUUUCACAAUAGUUAAAAAUAGAUCAGCUAAAGACUCACAGGCUUUCUUUGAUUGGAAUGCCCACAAAGUUGCUAUCAUUCAACAAGCUUGGAGAUGAUGAGUAACAAUCAGCUCUUUUACCAAUUUGGUCCUCAUGGAUCACCCUCCGAUCUUCCAUUUUCAAAACUUUGAGUUCAUAAUUUAGUUCAUCUUCCCAAUGCUGAGAUGGCAGACUCACUGAACUUGCAGAUUCCAUUUUAUUUUGAUGAUGGAUGUCCUCUUGAGGCAGCACUUGAUUCUUCUCAGGUUUCAAAAGACUUAAUGAUCCUGGGGUGCCUUUCUCUGCAGCCUGUAGCCAGGCAGUUUCUAACCUCUGUUCCCAGAUGAUGGAUUCUAUUCUCUGCAUUGGUGAUUCCUGCCUCUCCUCUUUCACAUAACCAUUUUCAGCAUUGGAUAGAGCAGUAGAUUGUAAAGCACUAUCCAGCAAUAUUAAGGAUUUCAAAUGAUCUCCUGGUCCUCCUUUUAGUUUGCACUCCAAAUCAUUGGAGCUUCCUCUGCAUAACUUUAGGGAUUCUUGUUGGGAAUCAGUGUAACCAUUUACUGGGUUCAAGCCAUUUGCUUUUCUUUUCUGCUCAAUUCCCAAAGUUGCUCCUGCCCGCUUUUGACCUUGCAACUCACUUAGAUUCACACAAUUCAUAGAAUCCUCACCAUCUGGCAUUAGUAUAAUCCGUACCUCUAAAUUGCAUCUCAAGACCAUUUCAAUUGAAUUUGUGAUACUGCUCAUAAACCUUUCAGCUCUUGCUUUAACAUCUUCAUCCCUAAAUGCAACAUAAACAACCAAAGCACCUUCAACUUCAGAUAUGGAGAAAAGUUUUCCAUGAGCAUGCAGCAGCUGCCUAAGUGUAUUUGAGUGACACUUUGCAAUACACUUUUCCCAGAUAUGAUCCAACUUAUCAGAGUUUCUGACUCUAUAUAGCAGAUUUCCAACCAGUUCAUCAUCCUGUGAGGCAGAAGAGGUAAGGCUAUCCAUUGUUCGACUUGAAGGGGGAUUAGAAUUCAAACCAAAUUCUCCUUGAUGGCUGGAAUUUUUAUUUAUUGCUUUGUACAAGGAAGCAGAACUUGAUCUACGAGGUAAAUAAUGAGCAUCUGAUUUCUGCUUGUGAAUCGUAACUCCAGAAGCACUCGAAGGAUCCUCCUCAGUUGUUCCCGAGCUCUGUCUUCUACUGCUGCUUGACUGAGUAAGAUCUGGUGAGGGCACUGAACCAAGCUGUAAAAGAGUCGCUGUGAACCAUGUUGAUCGGUCACUUGAAACCCGUAGCUGUUUCUCAGCCUCCGAAAGAAGCUUCAGUGCAUGCUUCAAUCUCUCCAGUUCUGCUUCAGUCAAGCUUUGUCCACCAAAGAAUGAAUGGCUAUAUUUGAUAUCAACAACAUUGUAAGUUCCUGCAAUGAUGUCCAUAAUGAGGCUCGCCAGUUGAGACAUUAAAACCAUGGGAUCAAAACCAGAGUCCAUUAAAUCCCUAGCCCUCUUCACCGUUUGUGCUGUUUCUGAAGACAUUGAUAACUCCAAAAGUUCCAGCAAUUUUUCAUCUGGAACAAGACCCACAAGCUCAUUUACAAGAGAUGUAGUUAUCCUCUUCCCCAACAAGCUCAACUGAUCUAACAUAGUUUCUGCAUCUCGAAGUGAACCCUCUGCAUUUAAAGCAAUCAAAUCCAAUGCAUCCAAUUCAGCAUCUAGAUUUUCUUUGGUAGAAAUUUUCCUCAACCUUGCCACAAUAUCCCCAUCUUUAAUUUUGCUAAAUAGGUACUUCUGACACCUUGAUUGUACAGUACGAGGUACAUUAUCAGGAUCAGUUGUUAUAAAUAUGAACACAACUCGCUGUGGUGGUUCUUCAAGAAAUUUGAAAAAUGCCAGCCACAUCUUAGAUGGCAACAAGUGACACUCAUCAAUGAGAAAAAUCUUGUACCGAGAAGAGCCUGUUGGUGGCCACUGUGAAACCUUCUUCAAAAGGUUCCUAACUUUAUCAAUUCCCUUCUUAUUUGUGGCAUCAACUUCCCAUAGAUACCUAGUCUGACCAGAAUUGAAAUCAGCACAUUCUGUGCAGUACCCACAUGGCUUUGUUUCUUCUGUAGAUCUACAAUUUAACGCAGAGGCAAAAAUCCUGGCUGUUGAUGUUUUACCAGUCCCUCUGGGACCCUGGAAAAGAUAAACAGGGGCAAUCCUUCCCUUGGAAAUAGCAUUUAUGAGAGAUUGAACCACAAUGUUCUGCCCUAUCACUUCAUCAAAGAAGAGAGGCUUGUAUUUUUUAGUCAAACUUUGAAUAUUUUCAGGUGUACCUUCCUCUUCCCCAUCUCCAUUUAGAGCUACAAUAUCUAACCCAUCUUGACUCCUACAACUAGACCAUCUCCUCCCAUCCAAUCUACACAGGGCCUCCAAAUCAAGCUCACCAAAGUUGGUAGAGAGUUCAUCAUCACUAUGACCAGUUCCAAUAGAUGACCCUCUGCCACCAAUAUUUGUAAGCAAUGGCAGAAGUCCUUGGGAACUUCUGGAAGCAAUUCUUCUCUUAUUUGAAAAUGAUGAUGAACGCUGGUGUCUAUGAUAAAUUGACUGACUACCACACAGAAUGCUAGUCCCUUUCCGCCGUAUAGCAUCUGAAAGGGAAGGAGAAAAACAACUUCCGCAUACCCCUCUGUGUCUAGGUGUCCUUUUGAACCAAUAGCAAGGAAUCCCACAUCCCUGGCGACCCGGCAAAUCCAAAUGGUCAUCCACCUCAUCAUCCCCAUCAUUCAAUGAGGUUGUGGUGGCAUCCCAAGAUCCAACAGUGCUUGGGUUACGAUUACAGUACCUAUUAUAAGAACUAGUUGAUAAUGCAGGUGUGCUAUAACAGUAAGAAGAGUCCUCUUUUUGACUACUCCUCAAAAAUUUAGAUGGAGAAUUUGACCAAUUCUUAUUGUUAAAUUUUAUUAAAAAAGGGGAUGCCCCUGAAAUCUUUCUUAGAUCCUCAGAAUUACCAUAUUCUUCGGUAUCAUCAGAUUGAUCUACAGAGUCGUCCCUUCCUAAACCUAAAGCCAAUGAAGGAUGACUCUUGAGCAAUCUUCUCAAAUUAAUCUCUUUUUGUUGAUAUCUAGACAUAAUAUCCAUAUGGGUGUUAGUUUUCUUACUCUUUUUCUUGAUCCCCAAUGCUCUUUUAGUUGAUGGCGAUACAGAAUUCGCAUCUCUACACCUGAAAAUCGUUGAAGCAGACCUACUCUCGCCAAUGUAACUGUCACUCUUGGAAUCUGCUGCAUUCCUUGCAUCGCUCAAGCUAUCAUCGAGGCUCUCUUGAAUCGAACGAGACUCAUAGUCUUCAUCAGCAUCAUUUCUUGCCGUUGCACUUUUCUCGCUGGAGGAUUUCUGAGUCUUCCAAUUGUACAGGAACACUCUCUUUUCUCUCCCAUUAUCCCUGAAUUGGGUGUUCAAAAUGGAAUUACUCCCAUUUGGGAUUACAUUCUCAUUCUCAAGCUGCUUCCAAGCAGCAGCAGCUAGAGUUACAGCUGCUGCAGAUCUAGACGAACUAAGAGGUGACUUCCAUGAAGGGGUAGUUCCUGGAUCGCGCAAAGCUCGAGCUGCUUUUCUGAUUUGAGUAAGCUCCUUCUUCAAAUGCAGCCUAUUCGGAUCAGAAACUCUCAUUUCUGACAUUUUUCCUUUUCUUUGUAGCUCUGCAGCAACGUUAGAUGCUCACUACAAAUACUACCUAAGCCAGAAACACAUUGAAAGUGAAGAACCCACAAAGAAAAAAACCAAGAAAACCCCACUUACAGCACCACCCCUAUUCCAUUUCAUUUCAUCUUACGGCUGAACACAUAAAAAACUAUCCUUUUCUAUAUGAACAAUAAAAAUGAUUGAACAGAAGCAUUUAUGGUGGUGGUGGUGGUCGUAAUGGAGAGAAUAUGGUGUUCUCGAUAUUGCGGACAGGGAAGAGCAGUUAUGACAGGAGUUGACAGUAUUGAUCACUUGAACAGAAGGUGGGGCUUGAAGAAAGAAACUACAUAAAUUAGCUAAUACUUUGUAUCUGUGAUUUUCUUAAUUUCUUUUACCACUUUCUCUUUUUCAUUAGGGCUUUAUGUGGCGCCCCAUACGAAUCCUUUGAAAGCUGAAUCUUUUGGGUAUAUAUGGUUUUGCAGAGAAGGGGGAGAAAGAAUUUUGAUAUUUGGGAAUAAAAAAU
rnacentral:misc_RNA from 1 species